rnacentral:rRNA from 1 species
CGCGUAUGCAAUCUACCUUUUACUGAGGGAUAGCCCAGAGAAAUUUGGAUUAAUACCUCAUAGUAUAUUUGAAUGGCAUCGUUUAAAUAUUAAAGAUUUAUCGGUAAAAGAUGAGCAUGCGUCCCAUUAGUUAGUUGGUAAGGUAACGGCUUACCAAGACGAUGAUGGGUAGGGGUCCUGAGAGGGAGAUCCCCCACACUGGUACUGAGACACGGACCAGACUCCUACGGGAGGCAGCAGUGAGGAAUAUUGGGCAAUGCUCGAGAGAGUGACCCAGCCAUGCCGCGUGCAGGAUGACUGCCCUAUGGGUUGUAAACUGCUUUUAUACGAGAAGAAACACCUCUUUGCGAAGAGACUUGACGGUAUCGUAUGAAUAAGGAUCGGCUAACUCCGUGCCAGCAGCCGCGGUAAUACGGAGGAUCCAAGCGUUAUCCGGAAUCAUUGGGUUUAAAGGGUCCGUAGGCGGCUUAAUAAGUCAGUGGUGAAAUCUCCUAGCUCAACUAGGAAACUGCCAUUGAUACUGUUAGGCUUGAAUGAUUGUGAAGUAACUAGAAUAUGUAGUGUAGCGGU